AUGUCAGUCUUCACAGUUGGGUGCAACAUGAUCACCCAUUUUGGCCGUACGCUAGCUGCACGCGUUGCACGUCGCCGGCAAAAUGGUCGGCCGGCCGGCCGGGCCGUUUCACAUGCCGCUAUUCCCUUUUUCAUGCAUCUCUUCUUCUGUACCCAUAGUCCCAUACACAUGCACAUGGAACUAAUAACUUCAUCAGCCCCCGCGCGCGCACAUGCACAUGCACUACCUCUCAAAAAGAAAAAGAAAACUUCGUGCAUGUUUAGCAUUUCACCGACCCUUGUCUUGUCAGGAUCGGCCUCGCAUGGCUUCACCCAUGACAUGCAUACGGUAUUAAACUAG
rnacentral:rRNA from 1 species